UUGUAGCGCACUGGAUAGCGCGCGCGCGUUGGACUUCUUAUCCAAAGGCUAUGCGUUCGAAUCCCACCUUAAAUAG